rnacentral:rRNA from 3 species
GAACCUGCGGAGGGAU